UACAGAGGUGGCAAGCGUUGUUCGGAAUUACUGGGCGUAAAGGGCGCGUAGGCGGCCUUCUAAGUCAGACGUGAAAUCCCCCGGCUUAACCUGGGAAUUGCGAUGGAGACUGCAAGGCUAGAAUCUGGCAGAGGGGGGUAGAAUUCCACGUGUAGCAGUGAAAUGCGUAGAGAUGUGGAGGAACACCGAUGGCGAAGGCAGCCCCCUGGGUCAAGAUU
rnacentral:rRNA from 1 species